GCCACCUUAGCUCAGCCGGUAGAGCAACUGAUUUGUAAUCAGUAGGUCGUUGGUUCGAUUCCGACAGGUGGCU
rnacentral:tRNA from 1 species